rnacentral:rRNA from 1 species
GCCUCUUGAUUAAACCAUAAGAGGUCCAGCCUGCCCAGUGACAUUGUUCAACGGCCGCGGUAUCCUAACCGUGCGAAGGUAGCGUAAUCACUUGUCCUUUAAAUGAAGACUAGUAUGAAUGGCCUCACGAAAGCUAUACUGUCUCCUUUUUCCAAUCAGUUAAACUAAUCUCCCCGUGAAGAAGCGAGGAUAAAUAUAUAAGACGAGAAGACCCUAUGGAGCUUUAAACAAUCGAAACACCUGUAUAUUUGUUUUAUCUAAAUCUACAUAUAACCCCACAUUUUGUUUCUAGUUUUAGGUUGGGGUGACCGCGGAGAAAAAAUCAACCUCCACGCUGAAAGAGAUAUCUCUAAACAAAAAGCUACACCUUUAUGUAUUAACAUAUUAACCCUAAUUGACCCAAUAAAUUGAUCAACGAACCAAG